rnacentral:sRNA from 1 species
UUUGGUUUUUUGUUUAUAUUAGGGAAAUUGCACUCUAUAUACAUAUAAAAUUAUAAAAUUAAGUAUUAGAAAAAACUACUCUCGAAUCUUUUCUCUCUAUCAUGAAAAUACCCUUAUAUCUCUAUACCAUAUUUGCUUUUGACGUUAAAUAUUUUGUUACCUUUUAAUAAUAAUGUUAUCAUCUUCCCAUAAUUAUAUAAUCUUUAAAAUCAAAUCGUUGGUUCAAUAGCUGGUAAUUUGUUUAUAUCGUCAAUUGUAUUAUUAACAUGUUAAGUAGGUUUGUACCCUAAGUUUUUUCAUCCAUAUAUCAAAAUCCUAUCCAUAUUUUGCUAACAAUAUUAUCCCGAUAAUACGUUAUCUAUUAACUAUUCUGAUGCACGUAUUUUUUCUACAUGAUUAUUCAGUCGCAAGUCAACUUUUAUGGUAUUCAUGUUAAA